rnacentral:rRNA from 1 species
GGGAAUCUGCCCUUGGGUUCGGAAUAACAGUUAGAAAUGACUGCUAAUACCGGAUGAUGUCUUCGGACCAAAGAUUUAUCGCCCAGGGAUGAGCCCGCGUAGGAUUAGCUAGUUGGUGGGGUAAUGGCCCACCAAGGCGACGAUCCUUAGCUGGUCUGAGAGGAUGAUCAGCCACACUGGGACUGAGACACGGCCCAGACUCCUACGGGAGGCAGCAGUGGGGAAUAUUGGACAAUGGGCGAAAGCCUGAUCCAGCAAUGCCGCGUGAGUGAUGAAGGCCUUAGGGUUGUAAAGCUCUUUUACCCGGGAUGAUAAUGACAGUACCGGGAGAAUAAGCUCCGGCUAACUCCGUGCCAGCAGCCGCGGUAAUACGGAGGGAGCUAGCGUUGUUCGGAAUUACUGGGCGUAAAGCGCACGUAGGCGGCUAUUCAAGUCAGGGGUGAAAUCCCGGGGCUCAACCCCGGAACUGCCUCUGAAACUAGAUGGCUAGAAUCUUGGAGAGGUCAGUGGAAUUCCGAGU